UACGAAGGGUGCAAGCGUUAAUCGGAAUUAUUGGGCGUAAAGAGCUCGUAGGCGGUUUGUCGCGUCUGCCGUGAAAGUCCGGGGCUCAACUCCGGAUCUGCGGUGGGUACGGGCAGACUAGAGUGAUGUAGGGGAGACUGGAAUUCCUGGUGUAGCGGUGAAAUGCGCAGAUAUCAGGAGGAACACCGAUGGCGAAGGCAGGUCUCUGGGCAUUAACUGACGCUGAGGAGCGAAAGCAUGGGGAGCGAACAGG
rnacentral:rRNA from 2 species